rnacentral:misc_RNA from 1 species
GAUGAAGAACGCAGCGAAAUGCGAUAAGUAAUGUGAAUUGCAGAAUUCAGUGAAUCAUCGAAUCUUUGAACGCACAUUGCGCCCGCCAGUAUUCUGGCGGUCAUGCCUGUCUGAGCGUCAUUUCAACCCUCAUGCCCCUAGGGCGUGGUGUUGGGGAUCGGCCAAAGCCCGCGAGGGACGGCCCGCCCCUAAAUCUAGUGGCGGACCCGUCGUGGCCUCCUCUGCGAAGUAGUGAUAUUCCGCAUCGGAGAGCGACGAGCCCCUGCCGUUAAACCCCCAACUUUCCAAGGUUGACCUCAGAUCAGGUAGGAAUACCCGCUGAACUUAAGCAUAUCAAUAAGCGGAGGA